rnacentral:rRNA from 1 species
GGUUAAGUGACUAAGCGUACACGGUGGAUGCCUUGGCAGUCAGAGGCGAUGAAAGACGUAGUAACUUGCGAUAAGCCCAGAUUAGGUAGUAACAACCAUUUGAGUCUGGGAUUUCUGAAUGGGGAAACCCACGUGCAUAAGCACGUAUCCUUACCUGAAUACAUAGGGUAAGGAGGCGAACCGGGGGAACUGAAACAUCUAAGUACCCCGAGGAAAAGAAAUCAACCGAGAUUCCGAAAGUAGCGGCGAGCGAAAUUGGACUAGCCCUUAAGCUUUACACGCGUUAGACGAACGGUCUGGAAAGUCCGACGAUACAGGGUGAUAGUCCCGUAGUUGACGACGUGUGUUCAGUGAAAUCGAGUAGGGCGGGACACGUGAUAUCCUGUCUGAAUAUGGGGGGACCAUCCUCCAAGGCUAAAUACUACUGACUGACCGAUAGUGAACCAGUACCGUGAGGGAAAGGCGAAAAGAACCCCUGUGAGGGGAGUGAAAUAGAACCUGAAACCGUGUACGUACAAGCAGUAGGAGCAGGCUUUGUCCUGUGACUGCGUACCUUUUGUAUAAUGGGUCAGCGACUUAUAUUCAGUGGCAAGGUUAACCAUCUAGGGGAGCCGUAGGGAAACCGAGUCUUAACUGGGCGUUCAGUCUCUGGAUAUAGACCCGAAACCAGGUGAUCUAGCCAUGGGCAGGUUGAAGGUUGAGUAACAUCAACUGGAGGACCGAACCGACUAAUGUUGAAAAAUUAGCGGAUGACUUGUGGCUAGGGGUGAAAGGCCAAUCAAACCUGGAGAUAGCUGGUUCUCCCCGAAAGCUAUUUAGGUAGCGCCUCGGACGAAUACUACUGGGGGUAGAGCACUGUUAAGGCUAGGGGGUCAUCCCGACUUACCAACCCUUUGCAAACUCCGAAUACCAGUAAGUACUAUCCGGGAGACACACGGCGGGUGCUAACGUCCGUCGUGGAGAGGGAAACAACCCAGACCGCCAGCUAAGGUCCCAAAUUACUACUAAGUGGGAAACGAUGUGGGAAGGCUCAGACAGCCAGGAUGUUGGCUUAGAAGCAGCCAUCAUUUAAAGAAAGCGUAAUAGCUCACUGGUCGAGUCGGCCUGCGCGGAAGAUGUAACGGGGCUAAGUAGUAAACCGAAGCUGCGGCAAUAUACUUUUGUAUAUUGGGUAGGGGAGCGUUCUGUAAGCGGUUGAAGGUGUGUGGUAACGCAUGCUGGACGUAUCAGAAGUGCGAAUGCUGACAUGAGUAACGAUAAAGGGGGUGAAAAACCUCCUCGCCGGAAGACCAAGGGUUCCUGUCCAACGUUAAUCGGGGCAGGGUAAGUCGACCCCUAAGGCGAGGCCGAAAGGCGUAGUCGAUGGGAAACGGGUUAAUAUUCCCGUACUUCUUACAAUUGCGAUGGGGGGACGGAGAAGGCUAGGUGGGCCUGGCGACGGUUGUCCAGGUUCAAGUGCGUAGGCUUAAGAGUUAGGUAAAUCCGGCUCUUUUUAAGGCUGAGACACGACGUCGAGCACCUACGGGUGUGAAGUCAUUGAUGCCAUGCUUCCAGGAAAAGCCUCUAAGCUUCAGAUUGUAAGGAAUCGUACCCCAAACCGACACAGGUGGUCGGGUAGAGAAUACCAAGGCGCUUGAGAGAACUCGGGUGAAGGAACUAGGCAAAAUGGUACCGUAACUUCGGGAGAAGGUAC